GAUCAUGGCUCAGAUUGAACGCUGGCGGCAGGCCUAACACAUGCAAGUCGAGCGGUAGAGAGAAGCUUGCUUCUCUUGAGAGCGGCGGACGGGUGAGUAAUGCCUAGGAAUCUGCCUGGUAGUGGGGGAUAACGUUCGGAAACGGGCGCUAAUACCGCAUACGUCCUACGGGAGAAAGCAGGGGACCUUCGGGCCUUGCGCUAUCAGAUGAGCCUAGGUCGGAUUAGCUAGUUGGUGAGGUAAUGGCUCACCAAGGCGACGAUCCGUAACUGGUCUGAGAGGAUGAUCAGUCACACUGGAACUGAGACACGGUCCAGACUCCUACGGGAGGCAGCAGUGGGGAAUAUUGGACAAUGGGCGAAAGCCUGAUCCAGCCAUGCCGCGUGUGUGAAGAAGGUCUUCGGAUUGUAAAGCACUUUAAGUUGGGAGGAAGGGCAGUUACCUAAUACGUGAUUGUUUUGACGUUACCGACAGAAUAAGCACCGGCUAACUCUGUG
rnacentral:rRNA from 1 species